rnacentral:tRNA from 1 species
GCCUGGCUAGCUCAGUUGGUAGAGCAUGAGACUCUUAAUUUCAGGGUCAUGAGUUCAUGCUUCACAUUGGGCA